UACGUAGGUGGCGAGCGUUGUCCGGAUUUAUUGGGCGUAAAGGGCGCGCAGGUGGUGCGGUAAGGCUGCCGUGAAAUCUCCCGGCUCAACUGGGAGGGUGCGGUGGCGACUGCCGGACUGGAGGCACUCAGAGGCCGGUGGAAUUCCCGGUGUAGUGGUGAAAUGCGUAGAGAUCGGGAGGAACACCAGUGGGCAGGACGG
rnacentral:rRNA from 1 species